CCUACGGGGGGCAGCAGUAGGGAAUCUUUCACAAUGGGCGAAAGCCUGAUGGAGCAACGCCGCGUGCAGGAUGAAGGCCUUCGGGUUGUAAACUGCUUUUAUAAGCGAGAAAUAUGAUGGUAACUUAUGAAUAAGGAUCGGCUAACUACGUGCCAGCAGCCGCGGUCAUACGUAGGAUCCGAGCAUUAUCCGGAGUGACUGGGUGUAAAGAGUUGCGUAGGUGGCAUAAUAAGUAGCUAGUGAAAUCUGGUGGCUCAACCAUUCAGACUAUUAGCUAAACUGUUAAGCUCGAGACCGUUAGAGGUAACUGGAAUUUCUGGUGUAGGAGUGAAAUCCGUAGAUAUUAGAAGGAACACCAAUAGCGUAGGCAGGUUGCUGGGACGGUUCUGACACUAAGGCACGAAAGCGUAGGGAGCAAACGGGAUUAGAUACCCCAGUAGUC
rnacentral:rRNA from 1 species